rnacentral:tRNA from 1 species
GGCUCUGUGGCGCAAUGGACUCCUAGUCAGAAAGAAGUGAUUCAAAGGUUGUGGGUUCAAGUCCCACCAGAGUCG